rnacentral:rRNA from 1 species
CACGUAGGCGGUGAAUCGGGUUGAAAGUGAAAGUCGCCAAAAACUGGCGGAAUGCUCUCGAAACCAAUUCACUUGAGUGAGACAGAGGAGAGUGGAAUUUCGUGUGUAGGGGUGAAAUCCGGAGAUCUACGAAGGAACGCCAAAAGCGAAGGCAGCUCUCUGGGUCCCUACCGACGCUGGGUGCGAAAGCAUGGGGAGCGAACG